rnacentral:rRNA from 1 species
GUUAGGAAUAUUGGACAAUGGGCGCAAGCCUGAUCCAGCCAUGCCGCGUGAGUGAUGAAGGCCUUCGGGUUGUAAAGCUCUUUAGCCGAUGAUUAUAAUGACUGUAGUCGGAAAAUAAGCCCCGGCUAACUUCGUGCCAGCAGCCGCGGUAAUACGAAGGGGGCGAGCGUUAUUCGGAAUCACUGGGCGUAAAGCGUGCGUAGGCGGCUUUGCAAGUUGGGAGUGAAAGCCCAGGGCUCAACCCUGGAAUUGCUCUCAAAACUGCAAGGCUCGAAUUCGGGAGAGGAUAGCGGAAUUGUCAGUGUAGCAGUGAAAUGCGUAGAUAUUGACAGGAACACCAGUGGCGUAAGCGGCUAUCUGGACCGAUAUUGACGCUGAGGCACGAAAGAGUGGGGAUCAAACAGGAUUAGAUACCCUUGUAGUCC